rnacentral:sRNA from 1 species
GCCUGGGUUGCCUGGCAUGGGAGGGGAGGUUAAGGGCUAAACACAAUGAACUUCCCUCAUGCCUGGAGCCUCUGGUCUAUGGAACAUUUAAGGAGGGGAGAGAUGUAACUUCAGAGACUCACUCACUCUUACAGCUAAUCUGGCCUCUGCGUUCUUAGAACUUCUUUUUCCAGAACAUUCUCAGGGUAUGUUGACGGUAUAGUGGUGAAUGUAGCUGUCUUCCAGAACAUUUCCAGAUACUCAUAGAAUUCCUGGAUCUCCAUGGCUUUAGAAGUUAGGAAGGUAAACAAAGCUUAUUCAGAGAGUUGGCCAGCAGUUUUCGGGGAGGAAGAAGAGAUAGGGUAUGGACUUUGGUAUUUCAGACUUCUAAAAUCCCUCCGAAGGACUGUCCAUCACAGCUACAUCGAGCUGUCCUGGCGCCCCGUUGCAGAGGGACAAGCCACACACACUGUGGGCUGUGGUCGGUGAGCAUCUGACAGCCGUGGGGAGAAGUAUCCAGCAAUAAAGGUGUGAAAGCAAGAAGAAUCGCAGGCCUGCCUUAGUGCGGCAGCUGGCAGGGCAGCCGGAGAGGUGCAGCACAUGGCGCUGGGCCACGUCGCGGACUGGAAAUGUCAUUAUCUGCUAUUUACCACGGCAGAGGACAAAUAAAGAAAUGAAGACUGGAAGAGGUGAGCAAGGAGAAAGGACUCCGCCUCAGAUCCUGGCUUCCUGCUUACCCACCUCGGUUAAUGUUUAGCUUUGGAAUGCCUCAGACGGUGCCAUUGCAAAAGCCUAAUGUUUCAAGGCCAACUUUACUGCUUCCAGCACGUCCACCUCUACAGUCCUCUCAGUGCGGGUCACCCACCCCUCUACAGUCCUCUCUGUGCGGGUCACCCACCCCAGCUGAGGCUUAUAGCCUCUGAUUUCUUCCCAGAAUUGGUAAAUCUCUGAAACCAUCUUAGGUGAUCAUGACUUGUCAUUUCUUGUUAUCUUAAGAGAGAAGAUUCCUUUCUUUCUGUCUUGUUCACUUUAAGAACUCCACUCUUGGGGCUGGAGAGAUAGCUCAGCAGUUAAG